UUCCCCCACCCCCUUCCCACAUGUUCAUCUGUUCUGUUUCUUAAAUUCCACAUGGGAGUGAAAUCAUAUGGUGUUCGUCUUCCUCUGGCUGACAUACUUCGCUUAGCCUAACACCUUCUGGCUCCAUCCACAUCAUCGCAAAUGGCAAGAUUUCCUUUUCUUUUUUUUUGAUAGGGCUGAGUCUCCGUGCUCCCAGGAUGAGUUAUCUGAACCAGCGCUCGUCCCAGCUCAUCCUGCCUGCAGCUUCUCCAGCCUGAAGUACAGAGCAUCCUCUGCCUGCAGCACAGCCCCCUCUUGGCCUCUGAAGACAAGAUGUAGCCCAUGAUGGCAGCUUCAUCUCACUUUGCUUGGGAUCUGGGAGGCCCAUUACAUGCCUGCUGAGCCACUGAGCCACGAUCUCCGCUAAUCUUCACGCGACUUCUGUGUGAGCCUGGCUUCAACACCGGCUUUCACAGACAUGGUGCCUGACACUCAAGAGAGAUCAAGCAGCUUACCUGGGGUCCCAAGUAUAAGGACUAGGACUUGAACUCGGUCUUGCUCUUUCCCGAAGCCUGUCUCUUUGUGCUAAGCCAGAGGGACUAGGCUUACCUUCACCACACGGCCAACAGGGAGGGUGGGCAGAGCUCAUCCCUUCUUUCCAAUGUCCCCGCGAGACAGAAACUUCUCUCAACACUUCUGCCUUUUCAGGAAAGUGCUGGCACAGGGCAUUUUCACUCCUCCCAACUCUCCUUAUGGGCAUGAGAUCUUACGGAGGGUGAAAAACUUGGGGGUGGGUUGGCGAUCAGGUGUAUAAAGUAUUUGUUUCAGGGGGCAGAGAGUUGAACGAAGGGGAAGCUGCCAGUGGAUUUCUGGGGCAGAUUUAUACAUGGGGGUCUUGGCCAGGUGCCAGUCCUUAACGGUGUAAAUGCUCCUGUCCAUUUUGCAUGAGGAAACUGCACCAGGCAAAUUGCCGAGAACCUAAAGCUCCAGAGCAAAUAAACCGAGAGUUUUCUCUUUGGUUGGGAAGGGGACGAACAAGAAUGGAAACGUGAGAAGGCAGCAUUACUCUUAACAGGUGCCUGCUCUUUCCCAAGUGACUGUAAUUUCCCUGUGUCUUAAUUCCCUAGCCGCAAAAUAGACACAAUUAUUCUUUACGAAUUGCACCAGGCUUUGGCCAAGACAGGUGGGGAAUAUAUAUGAGAAAGGGCCUUAUAUCCUUAGGAAGAAAGGCGGCUUGUACUCCAAGGUAUUUAUGUUAUUAAUUUUAUUCAAAAAUUAAAAAUGGAUUAGGGAGACCACAAAGGCAUUUUAUUGCUCUAAGCUGUCAGAAAGUUCCAGCUGAAUGGACUCAUCCAAGGUUUUCUUCAAAUGAACAGGAUUAAGCUAUUAUUUUUGUCAAUCUGGAUGGUUUCUUCACCCUGCACAAUUCUUAAAACCUCAUUGUGGUUCAUUUCAACUCUCAAAACUUGGGCUGAACACGUUUUAGUAGUUAGGCAGACUGGUUUAUAAAGCACGCAGAAAAUAGGGGUGGAGGCUAAUUUGGUUGGGAUUUGAGGCUUGUGGCAGGAGAGUCAAGGGUUUGCCUCCUUUCGGAAACAAACUCCUCCUAAAAGAAUAAGAAAAUUAUAAUCUGAAGGCUUGUGUGUUUUAAACAUAUAUUAAUAGAACUUUAGGUAUAUUUUUCUUGUUCAUUUUCAAUGUGGCUUAUGGAAAAGAGCACAGACAGUAAGUCGGGAGCUUGUCGGCUUUUUAGGGACCAGCUAUUUCCACUUCCCUAGAUGGCUUUACUCAAGUUCAGGUUCUGCAUUGGAGUCAUUAGCACCACCUCCAUUAGGUUUUCAUGGAAUGCAGCAGAAACUCUUACGUGCCUUCCUAAUAUAUCCCCCCUCACACCCCAGGGGGAAGAAACUUGCUUAUUUUUUAGGAAAAGCAAAUGCCCAGCUAAAUACUCACAUUUUCACAGCGUCCCCAUACUGGAGUUGGCAAGGAGGACCUAAGUGGAGUUGUACUUUGGGUCUCUGGAGUAGUUUUUGGUUUCCUGAAAAAAACGAGGUGGAAAGGACUGGUGUCUCUUCCCCACUUCCUUCUGCUUGGAAUGUAGAAGUGUUGCUUGGAGCUGUGGCAGCCAUCUUGUAAACGUGAGAACAAAGCUGAAGACUGCAGAGCAGAAAGAUCGCACACUCCAGGCUCCAGAUGGCACCAAAUAAACGAGUAGAAGCCAAACCUAAAAUUUCCCGCCUAGGAAGUGGGCGAAAAAUAAACCCUGUUUGUAGAAGCCACUCUUAGCUGGCUUAUACAUGUACCUGAAUGUAUUCCUGACUGAUGAGGAAAGAGACUUCCUAGCACAAAGUUUGGCAUGCUGAGUUACCCGGCGAGUGCUUUGAGCAAGGUCGGGUUCAUAGUCCUUCUUUUUAAUUAGCCUAACACACAUUCAGCUUCCCUGUUGUGCUGGAUACUUUGUAGAGCUCUCCAGAGCUUCUCACACAAAUGAGACCGAGCCUUUGCCCUUGAGGUAGUCGGAAUCUCAAUAGGAAGACAAAGAACUAUAAUUCAAGGCCAUGAAUGAGUACUGUGUGGAAAAUGUACAGCAUGCUUUAGGACACGGGGUAGAACACCGAGUGUCAAAAAAUGCAAGACAAAGGGGAAAGACUCGUCUUCCAUCUGGGGAGCACGGGGCCAUCGGAAACCCUUCCCAGAGAGGUUGCUGUAGCUGCCUACGUCACGGCAUUGAGUGGCCCGAGAAUUUGAAUCCGAGUCUCUGAAAUAAACAGUAACGAUAAACACGGCUAACGCUCAAGGAUCAUUUCCUUGACGUCUGGCCCUCAACAAGUAUUACCUCAUUUAACAGCCACAACAGCUCUCCGAGCUACGAACGAUUACCACCUCCCGUUUUACAGAUGAAGACACUGAGACUCAGUGAGGUAAAUGACUUGCCCCAAAUCACAUAAAUGGUAUAAAACUGAGGCUAGGAUUGGAGGUACGUAGCUCUGACUUUAUACUCUGCGCAUGGAGCCGUCUUGAAACCUGUCCCGUUAAAUACCGUGGCGGUAUCGAUGGGAUUGGGUCCUCCGGUUCCCAGGUGGUACUUACCAUCUCAUUUUGGUAUUAUCACUCUCUUUGUAAAGGGCCGCUUUCUGGAAGCCCCACCUGCACAAGGUAUAUUAAGUGGAGGCUAAUAAUACAUUUUCACUUCAA